CCUACGGGAGGUUGCAGUGGGGAAUAUUGCACAAUGGGGGAAACCCUGAUGCAGCGACGCCGCGUGAGUGAAGAAGUAUUUCGGUAUGUAAAGCUCUAUCAGCAGGGAAGAAAAUGACGGUACCUGAUUAAGAAGCCCCGGCUAACUACGUGCCAGCAGCCGCGGUAAUACGUAGGGGGCAAGCGUUAUCCGGAUUUACUGGGUGUAAAGGGGGCGUAGACGGCAGUGCAAGUCCGGAGUGAAAGCCCGGGGCUCAACCCUGGGACUGCACUUGAAACUGGGUAUCUUGAGGGCAGGAGAGGAAAGUGGAAUUCCUAGUGUAGCGGUGAAAUGCGUAGAUAUUAGGAGGAACACCAGUGGCGAAGGCGACUUUCUGGACUGUACCUGACGCUGAGGCGCGAAAGCGUGGGUAGCGAACGGGAUUAGAUACCCCUGUAGUC
rnacentral:rRNA from 1 species